GACGAACGCUGGCGGCGUGCUUAACACAUGCAAGUCGAGCGGUAAGGCCUCUUCGGGGGUACACGAGCGGCGAACGGGUGAGUAACACGUGGGUGACCUGCCCUCAGCUCUGGGAUAAGCCUGGGAAACUGGGUCUAAUACCGGAUAUGACCUUUCCUCGCAUGGGGUUUGGUGGAAAGUUUUUUGGGCUGGGGAUGGGCCCGCGGCCUAUCAGCUUGUUGGUGGGGUGAUGGCCUACCAAGGCGACGACGGGUAGCCGGCCUGGGAGGGCGACCGGCCACACUGGGACUGAGACACGGCCCAGACUCCUACGGGAGGCAGCAGUGGGGAAUAUUGCGCAAUGGGCGGAAGCCUGACGCAGCGACGCCGCGUGGGGGAUGACGGCCUUCGGGUUGUAAACCUCUUUCGACCCCGACGAAUUUGGACGGUAGGGGUAGAAGAAGCACCGGCCAACUACGU
rnacentral:rRNA from 1 species